UACGGGGGGGGCAAGCGUUGUUCGGAAUUACUGGGCGUAAAGGGCUCGUAGGUGGCCAACUAAGUCAGACGUGAAAUCCCUCGGCUUAACCGGGGAACUGCGUCUGAUACUGGAUGGCUUGAGUUUGGGAGAGGGACGCGGAAUUCCAGGUGUAGCGGUGAAAUGCGUAGAUAUCGAGAGGAACACCGGUGGCGAAGGCGGCGAUCUGGACGAUGACUGACGCUGAGACGCGAAAGCGUGGGGAGCAAACAGG
rnacentral:rRNA from 1 species